UACGGGGGGUGCGAGCGUUGUCCGGAAUCACUGGGCGUAAAGGGCGCGUAGGUGGUCUGCUAAGGGUGUGGUGAAAGCCCGGGGCUCAACCCCGGGUCGGCCGUGCCGACUGUUAGACUAGAGUGCUGUAGGGGCAGGCGGAAUUCCGGGUGUAGCGGUGGAAUGCGUAGAGAUCCGGAGGAAGACCGGUGGCGAAGGCGGCCUGCUGGGCAGAUACUGACACUGAGGCGCGACAGCGUGGGGAGCAAACAGG
rnacentral:rRNA from 1 species